UGGGGAAUAUUGGGCAAUGGGGGGAACCCUGACCCAGCAACGCCGCGUGAAGGAAGAAGGUUUUCGGAUUGUAAACUUCUGUCCUUGGUGAAGAGGAAGAGACGGUAGCCAAGGAGGAAGCCCCGGCUAACUACGUGCCAGCAGCCGCGGUAAUACGUAGGGGGCAAGCGUUAUCCGGAUUUACUGGGUGUAAAGGGAGCGUAGGUGGUGCGGUAAGUCAGAUGUGAAAACCCGGGGCUCAACUCCGGGACUGCAUUUGAAACUAUCGAACUAGAGUGCAGGAGAGGUAAGUGGAAUUCCUAGUGUAGCGGUGAAAUGCGUAGAUAUUAGGAGGAACACCAGUGGCGAAGGCGGCUUACUGGACUGUAACUGACACUGAGGCUCGAAAGCGUGGGGAGCAAACAGG
rnacentral:rRNA from 1 species